ACGCUCGACACCUACGGGAGCAGCAGUGGGGAAUAUUGCACAAUGGGGGAAACCCUGAUGCAGCGACGCCGCGUGGAGGAAGAAGGUCUUCGGAUUGUAAACUCCUGUUGUUGGGGAAAAAGAGGAUGGUACCCAACAAGGAAGUGACGGCUAACUACGUGCCGCAGCCGCGGUAAUCUGAGCGGGCUGGCAAGGC
rnacentral:rRNA from 1 species